AGGGAAAGUUGCAAAGCACUUUGAAGAGAGAGUUAAAGAGGACGUGAAACCGGUGAGGUGGAAACGGAUAGAGUCGGCGUAUCUCUCAAGUAUUCAUUUACAUUAUUUUUAUGUUGUGAUCUCUGAGCUCCAGAUUGGGACAGAAAGAAGCAGCAUAAUUUUCUGUGAUGCAUUUACUUGUUUGGUGCUUGGGGAUGUUUGAGGCAGAUUUGUGUCCGUCGUUUUGAGGCCAGCUUGCUGGUACCCAAACGGUGUUAGCAUUUUUUGUCUUGAACAUUUGAGUAUGGCUUACGGGCAUUUAUUGGUUCGAUCUGAGUGUAAGUUACGGUCGCAUGCGACACGUGCUUUCCAAUUAGUUCGGUCCAGUUAAUGCUCUCGUACUCGUUCCCCAUGUAAAAGCCGGUCAUCUAUCCGACCCGUCUUGAAACACGGACCAAGGAGUUUAUCGUGUGCGCAAGUUUUUGGGUGUUAAAAACCUAAAGGCGAAAUGAAAGUAAAGCUCUUUAGAGUCUGAUGUGCGAUCUAGUAAAAAAGUGCAGCAUGGCCCCAUUCUAACUGUUUACAGUAGGGUGGGAGGAAGAGCGUACGCGGUGAGACCCGAAAGAUGGUGAACUAUUCCUGAGCAGGACGAAGCCAGAGGAAACUCUGGUGGAAGUCCGAAGCGGUUCUGACGUGCAAAUCGAUCGUCUGACUAGGGUAUAGGGGCGAAAGACUAAUCGAACCAUCUAGUAGCUGGUUC
rnacentral:rRNA from 1 species